rnacentral:rRNA from 1 species
GGCCGCACGGAGCUGUCUGUGCUACGGGAGCAGAAUCCUUACCCUUUUAAUUGAAAGCUCGUAUAAAGGAUUUGACAUAGAGACGACUGUCUCAAUAUAAAGGAUAUAAUUUUAUACUAAGGUAAAAAAGCCUUAAACUAUUAAAAAGACGAUAAGACCCUAAAAUCUAUUUUUAAUCUAAGGAUUUAAGAUGACACAUCUAAAGUAUAAAAUAUACUGGGGCGGUAAUUAUUAAAUAAACAAGUAGUUCUACAACACCAUGUGUGGGGCCUGUUAUAUAACCUUAAUGAAUUAAAUAAGAUACUUUAGGGAUAACAGCAUAAUAUAUUUUUAGAGUUCCUAUCGACAGAUAUGUUUAUGACCUCGAUGUUGAAUUGAAUAGUCUUCUCCUAGAAGAGUAGGGGUAUAAGUAAGUCUGUUCGACUUUUAAUAAUUCACGUGAUCUGAGUCAAAACCGAC